rnacentral:rRNA from 1 species
UACGGGGGGAGCAAGCGUUGUUCGGAUUUACUGGGCGUAAAGGGCGCGUAGGCGGUCAGCACAAGUCAGUUGUGAAAUCUCCGAGCUUAACUCGGAACGGUCAGCUGAUACUGCUGUGCUAGAGUACAGAAAGGGCAAUCGGAAUUCUUGGUGUAGCGGUGAGAUGCGUAGAUAUCAAGAGGAACACCUGAGGCGAAGGCGGGUUGCUAGGCUGAUACUGACGCUGAGUGCGCGAAAGCUAGGGUAGCAAACGGG